rnacentral:rRNA from 1 species
CCUACGGGAGGCAGCAGUGAGGAAUAUUGGUCAAUGGGCGAGAGCCUGAACCAGCCAAGUCGCGUGAGGGAGUACUGCCCUAUGGGUUGUAAACCUCUUUUGUCGGGGAACAAAAGCCGGACGUGUCCGGCUGUGAGAGUACCCGAAGAAAAAACAUCGGCUAACUCCGUGCCCGCAGCCGCGGUAAUAGGGGGGAUGCGGACGUUAUCCGGAUGUAUUUGGUUUAAAGGGUGCGCAGGCGGAUUGUUAAGUCCGCGGUCAAAGCCUGGGGGUAAAACCCAUCCCGCCGUUGAAACUGGCAGUCUAGAGGGGGAGAGAGGUAUGCGGAAUGCGUGGUGUAGCGGUGAAAUGCAGAGAUAUCGCGCAGAACUCCGAUUGCGAAGGCAGCAUUCCGGCGCACAACUGACGCUGAGGCACGAAAGCGUGGGUAUCGAACAGGAUUAGAUACCCUGGUAGUC